rnacentral:rRNA from 1 species
GAUGAACGCUGGCGGCGUGCCUAAUACAUGCCAGUCGAGCGAACAGACGAGGAGCUUGCUCCUCUGACGUUAGCGGCGGACGGGUGAGUAACACGUGGAUAACCUACCUAUAAGACUGGGAUAACUUCGGGAAACCGGAGCUAAUACCGGAUAAUAUAUUGAACCGCAUGGUUCAAUAGUGAAAGACGGUUUUGCUGUCACUUAUAGAUGGAUCCGCGCCGCAUUAGCUAGUUGGUAAGGUAACGGCUUACCAAGGCAACGAUGCGUAGCCGACCUGAGAGGGGGAUCGGCCACACUGGAACUGAGACACGGUCAAGACGCCUACGGGAGGCAGCAGUAGGGAAUCUUCCGCAAUGGGCGAAAGCCUGACGGAGCAACGCCGCGUGAGUGAUGAAGGUCUUCGGAUCGUAAAACUCUGUUAUUAGGGAAGAACAAAUGUGUAAGUAACUAUGCACGUCUUGACGGUACCUAAUCAGAAAGCCACGGCUAACUACGUG